AGAGUUUGAUCAUGGCUCAGAACGAACGCUGGCGGCAUGCCUCAUACAUGCAAGUCGAACGAAAUCUUCGGAUUUAGUGGCGCACGGGUGAGUAACAUGUGGGAAUCUACCUGAAGGUUCGGAAUAACUGCGGGAAACUGUAGCUAAUACCGGAUGUGUCUGUAAAGAGAAAGAUUUAUCGCCUUCAGAUGAGCCCGCACUAGAUUAGCUAGUUGGUGAAGUAAUUGCUCCACCAAGGCUACGAUCUAUAGCUGAUUUGAGAGGAUGAUCAGCCACACUGGGACUGAGACACGGCCCAGACUCCUACGGGAGGCAGCAGUAGGGAAUAUUGGACAAUGGGGGAAACCCUGAUCCAGCAAUGCCGCGUGAGUGAAGAAGGCCUUAGGGUUGUAAAACUCUUUCAUCAACGAUGAUAAUGACAUUAAUUGAAGAAGAAGCUCCGGCUAACUUCGUGCCAGCCGCCGCGGUAAUAC
rnacentral:rRNA from 1 species